GUAAUGAGUAACACGCCUUUUUGCUUUUUCCUGCAGAAUUCAUCACUAAGCCGCCUCUCUUCAUCACAGGAGACAUGUGCCUUUCCUAGUCAAUUCAGAAACCUGCUCAGCCUGGUUUUAACAGAAUGCAAAUUACAGAAGAACGAUUUUGAUGUCAGACACAUCGAGCACUUGAUCAGCAGGCUGAAUAUCGCUAACGAUUGCCCAGUUCUGGUGAACCUGUACUGUGCAAACACAACUGAGAGUUCUGCUCCCAUCACCUCACUAGAAGGUUUGGAUGAAAAACUGACAAACCUGCUGCAGAAGUUCCGAGAGAAAUGCAACGUUUAAUUCAGACCAGAAUGCAGUUCCAUCAGAUUCAGAGUUUUGGGGAUCACUGCUAAUCUCAUAAAAACUGGGCAUCGAUAUAUUUCUCAGAAUGUUGGGGAAACAUUUGAAACCUCCCGACUACCUUCCUACAAUUAUCCUUUCUGUGCAACAAUCAAUCUUUCAUUGUUAAACAUAUUAUUGUCAUUAUUUUUUUUUUUUACAAUCAAUCCAGUUUCUUCCUUAUUUUUUAUUUUUUGUUAUUAUUAUUAUUUAAGGUCAGAAGAACCAAUCUGGUCAAACGAUUCUGACUAAAACAAAGAAAGAAGUAAUCUAGCUAAAGAAGUGAUGAAGGAAUGUCUCUAUUAGUUUGUGACUGUAUUCUGAAUAUUAUCAGUACUUUCUUAUAAUUAACCAGGAGAUGUUUAUUCCAAAAAGUACGGUUUAUCAAACACUAUGCCAGUAUAAAACAGUACAUUUGUAAAAUGUAACAUUAUGAAGUUGAUCAUGGUAUGUGCUAUGUGAUGUUAAAGGGUUUACUUAUUUAUUUUAUUUAUCAUUAAUUUAUGAAUAUAUUGCAGACGCAUAUUGAGUUUUUAUACUUUAGUUUUGUGUAUUUAUAUAUGUUAAGAAAAGUGUUGAACUUAUGUGAUUUAAACAUGUAACUGAAAGUUAACAUCAUACUGAUGUCUUAUUGAGAUAAUAUGCAAGGAUCCCCUUCCAGUUUGGUCAUAUUGAACAGUUCCCUUGUUUCUUUACUUUGUAUGAAAUUUGUUGUG